CCUACGGGUGGCUGCAGUGAGGAAUAUUGGUCAAUGGACGAGAGUCUGAACCAGCCAAGUAGCGUGAAGGAUGACUGCCCUAUGGGUUGUAAACUUCUUUUAUAUGGGAGUAAAAUGUUCCACGUGUGGGCUUUUGUAUGUACCCUAUGAAUAAGGAUCGGCUAACUCCGUGCCAGCAGCCGCGGUAAUACGGAGGCUCCGAGCGUUAUCCGGAUUUAUUGGGUUUAAAGGGAGCGUAGGUGGAAUGUUAAGUCAGUUGUGAAAGUUUGCGGCGCAACCGUCGAAUUGCAGUUGAAACUGGCAGCCUUGAGUGCAGGAGAGGUAGGCGGAAUUCGUGGUGUAGCGGUGAAAUGCUUAGAUAUCACGAAGAACUCCGAUUGCGAAGGCAGUUCACUGGAGUGCAACUGACACUGAGGCUCGAAAGCGUGGGUAUCAAACAGGAUUAGAUACCCGGGUAGUC
rnacentral:rRNA from 1 species